AUUGAACGCUGGCGGCAUGCCUUACACAUGCAAGUCGAACGGCAGCGGACCUUCGGGUGCCGGCGAGUGGCGAACGGGUGAGUAAUAUAUCGGAACGUACCUUUCAGUGGGGAUAACGUAGCGAAAGUUACGCUAAUACCGCAUAUUCUGUGAGCAGGAAAGCAGGGGAUCGCAAGACCUUGCGCUGAUUGAGCGGCCGAUAUCAGAUUAGCUAGUUGGUGAGGUAAAGGCUCACCAAGGCGACGAUCUGUAGCGGGUCUGAGAGGAUGAUCCGCCACACUGGAACUGAGACACGGUCCAGACUCCUACGGGAGGCAGCAGUGGGGAAUUUUGGACAAUGGGCGCAAGCCUGAUCCAGCCAUGCCGCGUGAGUGAAGAAGGCCUUCGGGUUGUAAAGCUCUUUCGGCCGGGAAGAAAUCGCACAGGUUAAUACCCUGUGUGGAUGAUGGUACCGGAAUAAGAAGCACCGGCUAACUACGUG
rnacentral:rRNA from 1 species